UACGAAGGGGGCUAGCGUUGCUCGGACUUACUGGGCGUAAAGGGCUCGUAGGCGGCCAACUAAGUCAGACGUGAAAUCCCUCAGCUUAACUGGGGAACUGCGUCUGAUACUGGAUGGCUUGGAUCCGGGAGAGGGAUGCGGAAUUCCAGGUGUAGCGGUGAAAUGCGCAGAUAUCAGGAGGAACACCGAUGGCGAAGGCAGGUCUCUGGGCUGUAACUGACGCUGAGGAGCGAAAGCAUGGGGAGCGAACAGG
rnacentral:rRNA from 1 species